AUCGCUUCUCGCCCUUUUGGCUAAGAUCAAGUGUAGUAUCUGUUCUUAUCAGUUUAAUAUCUGAAGAGGACGUCGGCUGUGCUUGGGCUUAGUUUUAGAAGGAGUUCGGGGGAGACUAUAUGUGCAGCUAGUGGGUGGCCUGUCCACCACUGCUGCAAGGGUCUUCCUCGAGCUU
rnacentral:snRNA from 1 species